rnacentral:lncRNA from 1 species
UCAGCAGAAAGGAGCUCAGCAGCUCCCUGUCACACACCCCACUUGAAUGAUAACCAGAGUUGGUGCAAGACAUUUUUCAGGGAGCCUAACAAGCCAUCUGGAUGCUAACAAACUUCAUGUUCAGCUCUUCUAGUGCUCUGGGAAACCCGGGGUGUGACAGGGAGAGCCCCUUAUAGCAGUGACUUUCCUGCAACACUGCAAACCCCAGGAGAGCCUCACCCUUACCCAGUGGGGGAAUCUGCAGUGUUGGGGUGGAGAGGGGGAUCCUUCAUCAAUGGGAGGAGCAGGCAGAAAGUGAUGCUCCCAAAGUGCUGACUCUGCUCCUGAACA